UACAGAGGGUGCGAGCGUUAAUCGGAAUUACUGGGCGUAAAGCGUGCGUAGACGGUCAUGUAAGUCGGAUGUGAAAGCCCCGGGCUCAACCUGGGAAUUGCAUUCGAGACUGCAAGGCUUGAGUGCGGCAGAGGAGACUGGAAUUCCUGGUGUAGCAGUGAAAUGCGUAGAUAUCAGGAGGAACACCGAUGGCGAAGGCAGCUCGCUGGGACGUGACUGACGCUGAGACGCGAAAGCGUGGGGAGCAAACAGG
rnacentral:rRNA from 1 species